rnacentral:tRNA from 1 species
GCCCGAGUAGCUCAGUCGGCAGAGCGGCUCACUCGUAAUGAGCAGGUCAGCGGUUCAAUUCCGCUCUCGGGCUCCA